rnacentral:rRNA from 1 species
GACGAACGCUGGCGGCGUGCUUAACACAUGCAAGUCGAACGGCAAGGCCCUGCUUUUGUGGGGUGCUCGAGUGCCGACCGCGUGCGUAACACGUGCGUAACUUGCACCUGCCUUUGGCAUAACUUCAGGCAACUGGGGCUAAUACCGGAUCGGAGCUCCUGCUGCUUGGUGGGGGUUGGAAAGUUUCGGCGGUUGGGGAUGGACUCGCGGCUUAUCAUCUUGUUGGUGGGGUAGUGGCUUACCAAGGCUUUGACGGGUAGCCGGCCUGAGACGGUGACCGGCCAAAGUGGCAGAGAGAUACGGCCCGCACUCCUACGGGAUGCAGCAGUAUGGGAGUAUGCAUGAUGGGCGGAAGCCGGAUGCAGCAACGCCGCGUGCGGGAUUAUGGCCUGCGGGUUGGAGGCCGUUUUCUCCUGUGACGGAGCGUGAGUGAAGGUAAUGGGUAAAGAAGGACCGGCUAAUUACGUG